rnacentral:rRNA from 1 species
CAGCAGCCACGGUAAUACGAAGGGGGCUAGCGUUACUCGGAAUUACUGGGCGUAAAGGGCGCGUAGGCGGCACGAUUAGUCAGGCGUGAAAUUCCUGGGCUCAACCUGGGGACUGCGCUUGAUACGGUCGAGCUAGAGGAUGGAAGAGGGUCGUGGAAUUCCCAGUGUAGAGGUGAAAUUCGUAGAUAUUGGGAAGAACACCGGUGGCGAAGGCGGCAACCUGGUCCAUUACUGACGCUGAGGCGCGACAGCGUGGGGAGCAAACAGGAUUAGAUACCCCAGUAGUCCCUGUCUCUUAUAC